AUGAUCUGUAAGAUUCCUUCAAGUUCUAACAUUCUUUCAAUCAUAUGUCAUAAUUCACAGUCCCAGCUGCAUGGCAUGCUGGGACAUUCAGACAAGCCGGAUCAGGGACCUAGGAGCAGAAAGGGGCAGUGCUGUGGAGAAACCCCAGGGGCAUUAGCUCAGCCUGAGGAAAAGACGUGCAAUCAAACCAGCAAAUUCAUGGGGAUGUGGCUAACUCCAGGAUAAUAGUGACAGAGAGGGAUGAAAGAGCCUUGUGGUCAAAUUCAGAAGGGAGAAGGCAGAGAGUCAAGCCAAGGAGUGGACAUCAUCCUACAGAUCAGGGAAGUUGCCCAAGUGUUAUGCAGGGGAUAAUUUGAUCAGAGGGAUACUAAAGGCUUUAUUCCUCUCCUCUUUGACUAUGUAGAAUCCACAUAGUCAAGCUUCAAAGAGGUGAAUUAGGAGA
rnacentral:lncRNA from 1 species